UGUUUUGAUAAACAUGCACUGAACAUUCUCAGGGUAGGAAUACAGAGAUGGGUCAGACAAAGAGCUGAACUCAAAGACCCUACAUCCUACAGGAGAAGAGAUGGAAACUGCAUUUGCUAACAUAUAAAAGAAGGAAAACUGCAGGGUCAUCGCCUUGACAGACUGGAAGGGAGUCCCAGAGAAGGGUGUCUGCUGGGUGUCCGGUAUCUACAUCUCCCUUUUGCUUAGUCACCUGUAUCCAUGACAAGCGCCUAAGGGUCUUAGACUA